GCAGCAUGGUCUUAGCUUGCUAAGGCCGAUGGCGACCGGCGCACGGGUGAGUAACACGUAUCCAACCUGCCGUCUACUCUUGGACAGCCUUCUGAAAGGAAGAUUAAUACAAGAUGGCAUCAUGAGUCCGCAUGUUCACAUGAUUAAAGGUAUUCCGGUAGACGAUGGGGAUGCGUUCCAUUAGAUAGUAGGCGGGGUAACGGCCCACCUAGUCUUCGAUGGAUAGGGGUUCUGAGAGGAAGGUCCCCCACAUUGGAACUGAGACACGGUCCAAACUCCUACGGGAGGCAGCAGUGAGGAAUAUUGGUCAAUGGGCGAGAGCCUGAACCAGCCAAGUAGCGUGAAGGAUGACUGCCCUAUGGGUUGUAAACUUCUUUUAUAAAGGAAUAAAGUCGGGUAUGGAUACCCGUUUGCAUGUACUUUAUGAAUAAGGAUCGGCUAACUCCGUGCCAGCAGCCGCGGUAAUACGGAGGAUCCGAGCGUUAUCCGGAUUUAUUGGGUUUAAAGGGAGCGUAGAUGGAUGUUUAAGUCAGUUGUGAAAGUUUGCGGCUCAACCGUAAAAUUGCAGUUGAUACUGGAUAUCUUGAGUGCAGUUGAGGCAGGCGGAAUUCGUGGUGUAGCGGUGAAAUGCUUAGAUAUCACGAAGAACUCCGAUUGCGAAGGCAGCCUGCUAAGCUGCAACUGACAUUGAGGCUCGAA
rnacentral:rRNA from 1 species